rnacentral:lncRNA from 1 species
AUAAAAGCAGAUGCAGACAAACGCAGAUGGAGACCAGAAGCCAAAUAACAUGAGGCUCCUCACUACAACAGAAGUGAGUUUGGCAGCCUCACACUGUUUUAAGGAAGAAAGAACAGGAGGCUCUCAUACCUGUUCCUGAAUGUCAUUCCAUGAGUAGUCAACAGUUUUCCCUAAGAGAAAAGAAGGAAACAUGGAUACUGUCAUUGAAAAGGUGAAGUCAUGAAUGUCUAGAAACAUGCAAAAAUCUGAGGAAAUGAGUAUUUGGGGAAAAAUGAAGCAACAAUUAUUGUUCCUUCCUAAGGUUUCUGGAAUCAACAGGCAAAGAAGACAGUUACUGUGCUGAAGAGAGUAACUGAUAUAGAUUACCCAAGGGAAACUGGACUACUAUGCUACAAUGGAGAUCAAGAAGAGUAUGCUAGGAAUACAAGAGAUUCCUUAGGAAGUCCCUCAGUAUGACCAUGUCCUGUAAUUAUAGUGAAUGGAACACUAUAACAACCCAAUUCAGGUAGAGUCCUACUCAUGCUCCAGACUAGGUUACCCCACAAGGUAAAGAAACACAAGCAGCUGAGGUGCUUGCUGAAGGCACAGGGAUUAUAGAAUGGGUAGUGGAAGACAGUAGUUAUAAACACCAGCGAUGGCAUGUGACCAGCUAUAAAAACAGGACUGUAAUUGUCAUGACCAUUUCUACCUGAUAUGCUCUAGCUUUGUCCCCACUCAAAUCUCAUCUUCAAUUGUAAUCCUGAGGUGUUAAGGGAAGAACCUGGUGGGAAGUGAUUGGUUUAUGGGAACUUUUUCCCCAUGCUGUUCUCUUGAUAGUGAGUGAAUUCUCAUAAGAUCUGAUGGUUUUAUAAAUGAUAGUUUUUCCUGGGCUCUCAUACAUUUCUGUCUCCUGCUUCCAUGUGAAGAAGGUUCUUGCUUCCCCUUCACCUUCUGCCAUGACUGUAAGUUUCCUGAGGCCUCCCCAGUCA